rnacentral:sRNA from 2 species
ACUAUGCAUUUGCCGAAUUUCCGACAUACUGGAAAACGGGGGAUCCAAUCUGGGUGAAUUGAUCUCGUUUCAGAGUGAUCAUAGGGAACCUUCAACCGAACCCUCAGCUAACCUCGUAGGCACCGGAAGGGGAAAAU